rnacentral:lncRNA from 1 species
CAGGAAGAGAUGCUGACACAGACAGAUAUAAGUAGUAGAAAUUCCCGGCAUAUGAUUCGACGGCCAGCUGAAGAAAAGGCCUCUUUGGCAACUCUUUUUUACGGGAUUUCAACAUAAAGGAAAGUCCAAGUCCAAUCUUCCGAUGCAGUGAAUUGAAAUCGACUCCUGGUAUAGCUCUUAAUAAGCAUGUAUGUGGGACCUUCCUCUCAAGCUAUCGGGGAUAAAAGAAAGAAACUGCUUUUUCAUUUUCCUUUUGAUUCCUUUUGAAAGGAGAGAAGGAGUCCAUUUUUGGAUAAACAGAACUUUGUCUAGUUGGAUCGAUAUAAGACCUAGGACCAAGUGAAUGAGGUUGAUUGAGGGUUCCAAUUCGAUGUGAUCUUCAUCUUAGAGUAGCUUAGUACUGGUUCAUUAGUUGUGACGAUAAGAAUUGAGGGUCUUCUUUCCUUUAUGCUGUGUUAGAAAGAUGAAGGACAAUGCUAUAUCAAAUAUUCUUCUAAAAAGAGAGCUCUUUGUUGGCUUACCACUACCCAAACUAUCCCCUCGCUUCCCUUGAGAUAGAUUACCCGAGCUAAUGGGCUCGAGGAGCUAAACGGUUUCAAUGCUCCCCUCUCUAGCGAGCCAGCAAGAGAAGAAGGCUGACGACUUAAAAUAUGCUAAUCUUCCUAACCUGCUAGCUCGAAUUCAUUCUUUAAUAAGGCGCGGGGUCGACUAAUCUUAGUUCUCUAUUCUGAGGAUUCUAUGACUAGAGAGAGAGCGAAUCGAGACAAUGCUAAUGUCCUAUAAGCGCGGUACUAAGUAGCUCUAUUCUUAAGUAUAGAUUCUAGCUAUAGAGGAAUUGUCGUAUAGAAAGUCGAAAAAAGGUAGCCCACGUUGGACUAAAUCCUUUUCAAGUCCGUGCUCCGUGCAUGGUCCAGUCCAUAUAUAGAAUGUGGUACGGCUUGCUCAGUCAUUGGAUUAAGGCAGAUCGGGAAGAGUCCAAACCAGCCCCUCAUCUUGGGCAAAGGAGGAGUUAGCAAAGUCAGCAUUUUCCAUUUCUGCUUUCUCUUAUUAUUCCUCCCUAGAUGCUUUCACUGGGACUAGUGCCCUUAUCUGGACCUAGUUCCUUUGCUGCUGAUGCCGAUUCUGUUUCAACUUACUUUGCUUAUGAUUGUGCCUUACCCUAACUAGGAAGUAAGUUCGGCUAAUCCUCUUUACCUACUCGGCUAGAACAGAAUAGCCGUUACGACUCAACUUCUUUUUAGAAGACAAAGAGCAAGAUAGCAAGAUAUAGAAAGUGUGCCGCGCAACUCAUCUUAGUAGCUUAGUAGUAAGAGGGAGGGCAUUGCCUCGAUUCGAUAGCGUGAGCGAGGAACAAAGUAGCUCGCCAUUGCCAGAGGAAUUGUCGUAUAUAAAAAAAGGUUAUAAGCCCAAGUGGACUCAAUAUUACUUUAGAAAGGAACGAAGCCCGCUUCCUUCUGUUGCUGUUGAAACACACACGAGGAAGUGAUCUUUGUGCAGAGUGGGCAGUUCUCCAUUCUUAAUCUUAAAAUAUGAAAAUUCUCGUAUUUGAGUCGUUCAGUGAUGCACUAAUUGGAGAACGAAUUCGUUCUAUCUUUAGCGCACUCAUUCUUUGAAUCAAGAAAGCGGGGUCGACUAAAAGGUAAAGUCGUCUCAUGCAGGUUCGAAUCCUGCCCUUAUGCUGAAAGAUUCCAAUUCAAGGGCUUUCCUUGACUCAAUCAAGAGAGAAAAGAUUAUCAGUUUUGAAAGAAGUAAAAAAAAGAGCGCUAAGGAAAGUAAGGCUUCUUUGUGUUGUCAGUCUUGUAUCGAGUGGAUUGGGGUCCUUCACCCUAAGGUAUAAGACUUUCAGUAAGCCUUUCAUUCAGGUCCUAAUCCUUGUCUUGCUAAACUCCCUCCCGAAGCAAGGGCAAUCGAGUUUAUGUGCUUACAGGUCUUGUUUCACCAUUGUAUCGGCAAAGGUUGAAUUUCCUUUGGCUUGAGGUGGAAAAAUCUCUUAGCCCGUGGAUCUCGUACGCGAAAGAUAAAGAGAUCUGCUUUCCGUACUAUUUGCCACCUAUCCAGUGCUUCAUGGACGUGAGGUAAGAUUCCCUGCGAGUCAUAACUAAAAAUUUUAUUCAAUAGGUAAAAGCCAGUUUGAAAGCUGUACCUUUCAGCCGAGGUUACUAAACUGAGCUAAACGAUCCUCCUUUUACAAACUUUAAUAAAGGGCUAAGAGGCUUACUGUGUCUAAAAGGCAUACUAGUCUAAUAGUCUAAUAUCAAGGGUAUUUAAUACCAGCCCUAAUCCUCUAAGUGCUUCUCCUUUUUUUUGGAUUUCACUUUUCAUUUCCUUGUAUUGUAGCCAAACCUUCUUAAGUUGGAAAAAGCUUUGCUCUCGGUCCAUUCAACCAUUUCUCUGGG